rnacentral:rRNA from 1 species
CCUACGGGUUGCUGCAGUCGAGAAUCUUCGGCAAUGGGCGCAAGCCUGACCGAGCGACGCCGCGUGCGGGAUGAAGGCCUUCGGGUUGUAAACCGCUGUCAGAGGGGAGGAAAUGCAUGGGAGUUCUCUCUCAUGUUUGACCUAUCCUCAGAGGAAGUACGGGCUAAGUUCGUGCCAGCAGCCGCGGUAAUACGAACCGUACGAACGUUAUUCGGAUUCACUGGGGUUAACGGGUGCGUAAGCUGCUGGGGAAAGCCCUCGGCUCAACCGAGGAAUUGCGCCCAAAACUACCUGGCUUGAGGAAGAUAGAGGUAAGCGGAACUAAUGGUGGAGCGGUGAAAUGCGUUGAUAUCAUUAGGAACACCUGUGGCGAAAGCAGCUUACUGGGUCUUUUCUGACGCUGAUGCACGAAAGCUAGGGGAGCGAACGGGAUUAGAUACCCCAGUAGUC